CGUCGUCGUGGGCGGGGCCCUCGCGCUCGGCGCCACCUUCGCCGUGGGCUCGUUGCUCGGCACGACGGCGAUGG
rnacentral:tRNA from 1 species